UAGGGAAUCUUCCACAAUGGACGCAAGUCUGAUGGAGCAACGCCGCGUGAGUGAAGAAGGUCUUCGGAUCGUAAAGCUCUGUUGUUGGUGAAGAAGGAUAGAGGCAGUAACUGGUCUUUAUUUGACGGUAAUCAACCAGAAAGUCACGGCUAACUACGUGCCAGCAGCCGCGGUAAUACGUAGGUGGCAAGCGUUGUCCGGAUUUAUUGGGCGUAAAGCGAGCGCAGGCGGAAUGAUAAGUCUGAUGUGAAAGCCCACGGCUCAACCGUGGAACUGCAUCGGAAACUGUCAUUCUUGAGUGCAGAAGAGGAGAGUGGAACUCCAUGUGUAGCGGUGGAAUGCGUAGAUAUAUGGAAGAACACCAGUGGCGGAGGCGGCUCUCUGGUCUGCAACUGACGCUGAGGCUCGAAAGCAUGGGUAGCGAACAGGAUUAGAUACCCUGGUAGUCCAUGCCGUAAACGAUGAGCGCUAGGUGUUGGGG
rnacentral:rRNA from 1 species